rnacentral:tRNA from 1 species
AGCUCGGUAGCUUAGUUGGCAAAGCACUUAUCUAGCGUUGAAGGGUCGUCAGUUCAAAUCUCACCUGAGCAG